CUCUCUCUCUCUCUCUCUCUCUCACUCCAGCUUUAAGGAUGCCAUCACUUCUGUUCUGUGUGAUCCACGAUUGUCCAGGGGAUUGACAGGGCUAGGGAUCCUUUUUUGUUGGAUGCCCUCGCUUCUGUUUUUUAAAUGCCUGCAGCCUUUUCCAGAUUCCCACUCUAGUUGUCUUGUUUGAGGAGAUCUUUUCUAUCCGUUUGUGUUCACAAGCAACAUUUACUUGGUGAGUGAGUAUAGUUAUGCAAUUCUGUUUUUUGUUUCCCAGAACAUUCUGAUCUGUACUGUAAUCAAUUAUGUUAUUAUUGAUCAUGUCCCUCUCUC